AUUGACCGCUGGCGGCAGGCCUAACACAUGCAAGUCGAGCGGAGCGGCGGACGGGUGAGUAAUGCCUAGGAAUCUGCCUGGUCGUGGGGGAUAACGUCCGGAAACGGGCGCUAAUACCGAAUAAUCACAGAUGAGACUAGGUCGGAUUAGCUAGUUGGUGGGGUAAAGGCCUACAAAGGCGCCGAUCCGUAACUGGUCUGAGAGGAUGAUCAGUCACACGGGAACUGAGACACGGUCCAGAUUCCUACGGGAGGCAGCAGUGGGGAAUAUUGGACAAUGGGCGAAAGCCUGAUCCAGCCAGGCCCCGGGUGUGAAGAAGGUCUUCGGAUGGUAAAGCACGUUAAGUAGGGAGGCGUUACCAACAGAAUAAGCACCGGCUAACUUCGUGCCAGCAGCCGCGGUAAUAC
rnacentral:rRNA from 1 species